AUAUUACAUGGUUUUACCUGCCCAAUGUUAUAUAUGAAUGGCCGCGGUACUCUGACCGUGCUAAGGUAGCGUAAUCAGUUGACCUUUAAAUGAGGUCAGGAAUGAAUGGAAUAACCGGGUUUAGCUGUCUCUGUGUCACUAUAUUGAAUUUACUAUCUAAGUGAAAAAGCUUAGGGUUAAAAAAGGGAGGAGAAGACCCUUAGAAUUUUUUUUAAAAGAAAAUAAAAUUUUCUUACAAUUUUAUUGGGGCGAUAAAGAAAUAAUUAAAACUUUCUUUUAUUACAAGCCGAUUAUAUUAAGUGAGAAUAAAUUACCUGAGGGAUAACAGCAUAAUUCUAUAAAUGAGUUUGUGACCUCGAUGUUGGACUAGGAAACUAGCAGGCUAGCCGUUUGCUGUGUUAGGUUCUGUUCGAACUUUUAUUCCU
rnacentral:rRNA from 1 species